UGCGUAGGUGGCUUGUUAAGUAGGAUGUGAAAUCCCCCAGCUCAACUGGGGAACUGCAUUCUAAACUGGCGAGCUAGAGUGAGAUAGGGGUGUCCGGAACUGCCAGUGGAGCGGUGAAAUGUGUUGAUAUUGGCAGGAACGCCGGUGGCGAAAGCGGGACACUGGGUCUCAACUGACACUGAGGACGAAAGCCAGGGGGAGCGGAACG
rnacentral:rRNA from 1 species